rnacentral:rRNA from 1 species
CGGACGGGUGAGUAAUGUCUGGGAAACUGCCUGAUGGAGGGGGGUAACUACUGGAAACGGUAGCUAAUACCGCAUAACGUCGCAAGACCAAAGAGGGGGACCUUAGGGCCUCUUGCCAUCGGAUGUGCCCAGAUGGGAUUAGCUAGUAGGUGGGGUAAUGGCUCACCUAGGCGACGAUCCCUAGCUGGUCUGAGAGGAUGACCAGCCACACUGGAACUGAGACACGGUCCAG